UUAAUCUUUGCCUACGUAGUAAAUAGCUAUCCUUUUUUUAUUGGUUGAUUAUACAGAAGUUUGCUCAGUAUACUAUUUUGUUGAAAAACUGAAGAUGAAGAAACAGCCAAAGACCAGACUGAGUUCUGACUUUCAGGUGCUCUUAAUUAUUUUUCCAGUCUGAUGGCUGAAGGGGGUAUUAUACAGAAGCAAGACAGAGUGAGGCCACUACUACCACCCAAACCAACAGGAUGUAUCCCUGCCCAUCACUCACCUGGGACAACUGCAGGACUCAAAUCUAUGAGGACAGUUACAAGAGGAAGCAGUUCAGGUCCAAAUUCUUGUCAAAAGAGCAUUACCUUUAAGGAAACAGCAUCUACAGAAAAUAAUACAGAAGCUGGAAAAUCAACAACAUCCAUAACAGAAUUAAAGAAACAGUAUGAGUGCAAAGAGAUCAAAGCUUUAACUUUUAAAAAAUGUGGUGGACAUGAAGUAUGUGAAGAAAAGUGUAAUAGGAAACCAUUUUCAUCAAAGAAGCAGGUUCUGACAAGACCACAAAUUUUCCCUAAACCACAGACACCAAUUAAAUCAAAAAAGGUUAUUGUGAACACUGAACCUCCUUCCCCUCAGAACUGUGUAAAGCGUGUUGUAUCAGAGACAGCAGUUGAGGAACUUACUGAAACUUCAGUGCAAAAAGUCAAGAUUCCAAACAAACAUACCUCAAGUGCAGAGAGGUGCCUGGAAUCAAAAAAUGUAGAAGAGUUUUGUGUUAGAGCUGAUACAGUUCCAAAAAGUGAAGUUGAUUCGUAUCAUGUGUUACAUAUCAGAGCUCCAGUUGCAAAUUUUGAGGAAUUUGAUUGUCUUCCGGAAAGUGACAGGCGAGAUGUUCCAGUACGUCCCCCACGUUCUCCUAAAAAUAAGGCGUUACAGGGAAAUAUAUUUCUUAAGUGUAUAGAGGGUACUUCAUUUUUGAGCUCUAGGGAUAAAUUUAUUUCAUCAAGCCCUCCUGACAUAUUGCUCAAAAAAUUUGACAACAGUGACACAUGCAAAGUCAAACAUCUUGAGGUGAAGGCAAAGAGCUCUAGUUUGGGAAGAUUUUACACACGUCAUUUAAGUGAGGUCCAUAGUGUUAACAUAUCGCUAGAUAAAAAUGGUAAAACUCCUAUACCACCCCCUAGGAGGAGAAGAAAAUCAGUUACAGAUGUUUUACCUACAAAGGAAUUAGAAAGCAAACAGGAUUUGUACAGCCGUAUAAGUUUGAUUAAACCCCAGAGAAGUUUCCCCGAAUAUGCCACUGUUAAUUACAGUCAGAAAAAAAAUCGCAAGAAUAACUCAGAAGGUAUUGUUUGUUCUAAUGAUAAAACAACUAGUAUAAAUCCAGAAAAGGAUCCAAAACAAGAAACUACAGUUAAUAGUUUUAUUGAUGACAGGCUCAACCUCCAUGCCCUAAAGCACUUAUUUGAAACUUGCAAUCGUCCAGAUGUAACUCAUUUAUCCAAAGAAGCAGCUAGACCAAAUACCAGUCAUUCAGUAAAGAAUGAAGUGCAGCUCACUGAAAUAGCAGCUGAUAUGGACACUACAGCAGCCACAACGUUUAGUGAAACAUGUAGGUUAGAUAAGGAUGUUUCUUCAAAUAUAGAUAAUUCUGUGUUGUCUACAGAGUUUAUCAAGUCAGAUAACAAAGAUAAAGGAACUGUCACACCAGAGAACUUUUCUGUGUGCAAAUCUCAGUGUGAAGACUGUCCUCAUUCUGGUGAGCAAGACGCUCCUAGAAACGAGAUUAAGAAAUCUAGUGCCCUCCCAAAUGAAAGUGAUAUGUGUGCAACAAGUUUUCAAGAAAAAUCGAUGUCAGAUGUACAUGAUAGUUCAAGUUCAAGUAAGGUAGAAUGGGUGUCAGUGAAUAGCUCUGUUCGCAAUAGUUCAAAUGAAAUUGGGAAAAGGGUAGAUGAAAUUGACAGUUCUUCUUAUAAACAAACUUGUGAGGAAAAUAUAAAUCUGUUAAAGGAAAAUAAUGAUGUCACUAUAUUACUGGAGAAUUCUGUUGUUGACCAUGUUGAAAUCACUACAUCACAGAAAAUCUGCAGUGAUGGUAUUUCAAGUUUAGAAGUAUGUCAGAGCUCAUCUAAUGUAGACACUGGUAAGGUAUGUGCCAUCAGCACUGGUUCAAACAGUACUACAUCUACUCAAGAAAAAACGGAGGCAUCACCAGAACAGAAAUUUAAGUACAGGAGUGCUGGAAGUGAGAAACUAAUAUUCAGAUUACUGUCAGAUGAUUCAUUAACUUCAUCCACACCAUCAUUGCCAUGCAGUCUGACCCACCGGAACACAGCAUUAAACAGGAAGCAUGCACGGCGGCUGUCAUGGAGCAGCUGCAGGGAUCGUGUCAGAGCAAUGAGGAAUGAACCUAGGGGAAGAGGUAACAGUUUAUCUCUGUGGUAUGAUGAUGGUGACCUCUCAAGUGGAGCUUUAGCUGACCUAGACAGCUCAGACAACACAGCAAGGCAGAGUUCACUAGAAGAUCUGUUCCAAGGGAGUGAAUGUGAUGUUGCUAAGAAGUCACCUCAGUGGAAUGUAUAUUCAAAGUCUGAGAGAGGCUUGUUACCUAAUGAAGAUUGUGCAUCUAUAUCAAGCAGCAGUCAAGACAAUGAAUACUCUCUGUCUUCUAUGAAAGUUGUAGAGAGCUCUGCAGGUAGAAACUCAAAAGUUCCAGAGCAGAAUUACAUGAAAGGUGAUGCUCACUCAGACCAAGAAAAAACAGACAUCACAGAAACGAGUCAGAACUCUGAUUCUGAGGCAACUGGUCAUUUUAGCAAGGGAGAUGCAGUAAAACUUACAUCAUCUGAGCAGAAAGCCAAUAAAGCAUUUUUCAUUGCCAAAGAACUUAUGACAUCAGAAAGAGUAUUUAUCAGUGUACUGAAACUUUUAAAUGAAGAUUUCCGACAGGCUUUGGAAAUGACAAGAAAACAAUAUCAAUUUCAAAUAAUCCCCGAUGACGACUUCUGUAAGAUAUUUAAUAGUUUGCCACAAUUACAAAGCCUUAAUGAGGAUCUGCUGCACGAUCUUGAAUGCAGAAUUGAAAAUUGGCAAUCUUCUAAAAAGAUAGCGGAUGUCAUUGUAAGGAAAGGUCCAUUCUUAAAACUGUAUACCACAUAUAUUCAGAAUUUUGGAGCUCAGUGCAGUCAUUUUGAUGAAUGUUGUCAAAAAUAUCCAAAAUUUUCCAAAUUAGUGAGAGACUUUGAAGCCUUGCCCAUCUGCCAAAAACUUUCAAUUAAGCAUUUCAUGUUAAAACCUGUCCAGCGAAUACCACAGUACCGACUUCUACUUGAAGACUAUUCCCGACAGCUGGAUUCCUCCUCACCGGAUUACGAGGAUACCCAGAGAGCACUGAAAAUUGUGUGUGAUGUUGCAGACCAUGCUAACAGAAGCAUCAAAUUGGGAGAUCAUUUAAGUAAAUUACUUCAGCUCCAAGCUCAACUCAAUAAUUAUGAAAUAAUCAAGCCAGGCAGAAUAUUUCUGAAGGAGGGUGAACUCUUAAAGUUGUCAAGAAAGGACAGUCAGCCACGAUAUUUCAUUCUGCUGAAUGAUUGCCUGUUGUACACAUCAUACUAUGGGUCAGGACUGGCAUCAGGGCUAAAAGUAAAUUCAGAGCUCCCUCUUGGAGGCAUGAAGGUUACUACACCACAGGCCGAGGAAUUCCAUAAUGAGUUCAGUAUCAUUAGCAGCACAAGGAGUUUUACACUAAUGGCGAGAAAAUGCUACCCCCAGAUACCCCAGCAAUGAUGGAAAGAAGCAGAUAUCCAGGAAAGAUUAUUAAGGCAUCUUUCUUCAUAGAAACAGGCAAUUUGAGGACUGGAAACUUGAAUACAGAAAUACUAUAAUUCUGGAUUGGUCUCAAGAAGAACGGCAGGAAUGGGUAGAUGCUCUUCAGGCAGCUAUAAAGGAUUAUACAUAUCGACAACUUUCCUUCCACAAAUUAAGUGCAAAAGAUAAUGACAAUUUUUCUGAAACGUUUAAACUGGGAAAA
rnacentral:misc_RNA from 1 species